rnacentral:rRNA from 1 species
GGUAAGUCAGCGGUGAAAGUUUGUCGCUCAACGAUAAAAUUGCCGUUGAAACUGUCGGCCUUGAGUAUGGAUGAAGCAGGCGGAAUGCGUGGUGUAGCGGUGAAAUGCUUAGAGAUCACGCAGAACUCCGAUUGCGUAGGCAGCCUGCUAAGGCAUAACUGACACUGAAGCACGAAAGCGUGGGUAUCAAACAGGAUUAGAUACCCUGGUAGUCCACGCAGUAAACGAUGAUUACUAGGAGUUUGCGAUAGACUGCAAGCUCUACAGCGAAAGCGUUAAGUAAUCCACCUGGGGAGUACGCCGGCAACGGUGAAACUCAAAGGAAUUGACGGGGGCCCGCACAAGCGGAGGAACAUGUGGUUUAAUUCGAUGAUACGCGAGGAGCCUUACCCGGGAUUGAAAUGUACUCGACGGCAGGAGAAAUUCUGCUUCCAGCAAUGGCGGGUAUGUAGGUGCUGCAUGGUUGUCGUCAGCUCGUGCCGUGAGGUGUCGGCUUAAGUGCCAUAACGAGCGCAACCCUGACUGUCAGUUGCUAACAGGUAAUGCUGAGGACUCUGGCGGGACUGCCGGCGUAAGCUGUGAGGAAGGUUGGGAUGACGUCAAAUCAGCACGGCCCUUACAUCCGGGGCGACACACGUGUUACAAUGGCAUGGACAGAGGGUUGCUACCCGGCGACGGGAUGCUAAUCUCCAAACCGUGUCUCAGUUCGGAUCGGAGUCUGCAAUUCGACUCCGUGAAGCUGGAUUCGCUAGUAAUCGCGCAUCAGCCAUGGCGCGGUGAAUACGUUCCCGGGCCUUGUACACACCGCCCGUCAAGCCAUGGGAGCCGGGGGGACCUGAAGUCCGUAACCGCAAGGAUCGGCCUAGGGUAAAACCGGUGACUGGGGCUAAGUCGUAACAAGGUAACC